rnacentral:rRNA from 1 species
UGUCUCUCUCCGCCCCCUUGGGAGGGAUCAUUACAGCGGUUAUUCUCCCCACCCCUCGGGCACACACCUAUAAAAGUGGGUUUGUCGGGCAGGGUGUCCUUGACCCUCCCGGCCUCCCGCCCCCGGGCGGGUCGGCGCCCGCCGGAGGAUAACCAAACUCUGAUUUAACGACGUUUCUUCUGAGUGGUACAAGCAAAUAAUCAAAACUUUUAACAACGGAUCUCUUGGUUCUGGCAUCGAUGAAGAACGCAGCGAAAUGCGAUAAGUAAUGUGAAUUGCAGAAUUCAGUGAAUCAUCGAAUCUUUGAACGCACAUUGCGCCCGCCAGCAUUCUGGCGGGCAUGCCUGUUCGAGCGUCAUUUCAACCCUCAAGCUCUGCUUGGUGUUGGGGCCCUACAGCUGAUGUAGGCCCUCAAAGGUAGUGGCGGACCCUCCCGGAGCCUCCUUUGCGUAGUAACUUUACGUCUCGCACUGGGAUCCGGAGGGACUCUUGCCGUAAAACCCCCAAUUCUCCAAAGGUGACGCUCGGAUCAGGUAGGAAUACCCGCUAACUUAA